CUCAGGGGCCUUUGUUUUGGUCAAAUAUUUUGGAGAACUUUAAUGACGACCAGUGGCAACAGCAUUUUCGAAUGUCAAGGAACACCUUUGAAUUUAUUUUGCAAGAGACUGAUCAGAGCACGACACGUAAGAACUGGAGAAAGCCCUUACCACCACACCAUUGAUUGGCUAUUGUUUUGUGGUGGUAUGCAACCCCUGGUGAGUACCGUAUGAUCAGUUGUCUUUUUGGUGUUGGACUGUCCACUGUUUGUACACUGAUUUACAAGGUCACAACGACAUUAAAGAGAAUGCUUUUAAAACAUUUCAUCACCUUACCCAAAGGGAAGCUCUUCAACAGACGAUAAAUGGGUACGCUGCACGUCGGUAUCCGUUGAAUGCUGGUGCAAUAGAUGGCAGCCACAUCCCUAUUAUUGCUCCACAAGAAGAUGCGACGGCGUAUUACAAUCGCUAGGGAUGGCAUUUGAUUGUACUUCAGGCUGUUGUGGACCACAAUUUCUGUUUUACAGACAUAUAUGUGGGCUGGCCUGGUCUCACGCAUGAUGCUCGUGUUUUAUCCAAUUCUCCUAUCUUCAAAAUGACAGAAGAACAAGGCGGAUACCUGUUUCCUCAUGAGAACUCCAUGUCAGUGAACGGAGUCGAUGUUCCUGUCCAUUUAAUUGAUGAUGCUGCAUACCCUCUCAAGAACUCAACCUCAAUACGCUGACCCCACAACAACGGCAUUAUAACUAUCGACUGAGAUCAUCACUAUGGAUACUAUCAGCUAUGGAUACGGAUCAAGAUGGCAACGGGUUAAGUCCAGCCUUUUUUACCUAUAUAUUGAUGACGAGGCAAGAUGACCGGAGCGGUUGUGUUGCUGUUGAGUACCUCGCAGAGCUCCUAAGACUGCCGCGGCGAUUCGUUGUGUAUCCGCGGCCAGAGUCUUAUUAGGUUAUCCAAAUGGAUUCAAUGUCACCGUUCGUCUGAAACACGGAAGGUAAUUACAUUAUCCCCGUCGUUGUCUGUCUAGCGGAUUGUCGUUGAGACGCUACAGGGAAGAGAAACACAACAUUACGAGUCAGAGUGAGUAGUUCCAAAACCCGAAGUGGACUAAUGGAGCGGAACUCUACAGCUGAGUGCUAACGUACCCGAAUCCAUACAAAAGGUGGCGUGGACUUGAGAAAACGAGUCGUGAGUACAUUAAUUCUGUUGCAGAGAGCAUUGAUUUUUUUAUUGUUUGCUCACCUAUUGACUCUGCGAACUAUCGUUUGACUGCAGAGUAUUUUUUGCUCACCAUUUGACUGUGUGAACUAUUAUUGCUGCAAAGCAUUGUGAACUGAUUUAUUGCUCUGGGCCGCAUGUGUUUCAUUGUGGUCAUCAUUUGUGAUCAAACCCUUUUGAAUUGUUAUUUUUUUGUGUGUGUUUGUUGUUGGUGAUCUGUUUUUAUUAUUUUUCUUCUAACUUCUAAUGGAAAAUUUAUGUUGAAACCUUUUUGAAAAUAUAUUGAGUUUAAAGGUUUAUGUGUCUUGGAUUGAAUGGUUGUGUUCUAUUUUGGAGUGAUUAAUACUGGUGAUAUUGCAUAAGUUCAAUCCUUUUUCAUAAAGUUAGGGGGUUUUGUGUACGACUACACAGACACAGAAUACACAAGAUCCUUGUAAGUUUUCUCGAUCUAAAAUUUAAUUUAUGACAGAAAACCUGUCUGGCACCCCAGCAAAGAACCUAACAAAAAGUGUGGGAAAACGUUACAACUGGAACAUUACAGAUGUUUUGCAAGAGCCAGAACAAGAUAUGCUUUAGGGGUGGGAGGUCCUAAUUCACAAGCUAUUCUUGCGGCUAUAAUGACUCAUCCUGUAAUAUGGGUACCAUGUUUUUAUGGCAUGAUGAAGCAUUGUUACCCUGAAGCUUUCCGUUGUUUACUUUUUUACUGUUUAUACGUGUGUGAUAUGAUUGAUGUACAGAAUAAAUAUGAUUGAGAAUGUAUAUUUUUUUCUUCUUUAAUGUUGAUAACUAUACAUGUCACAGAAUUUGUGUAUAAUUGACUGAAGCACCCCAAUUGCCCUAAACAAUGGCAGCAUAUUAUAUAUUGUUUUGUGAAGUGUACUUGGACUGAACUAAUACCAGACACUAAAUAAAAUGGAUGUUUAAGAUGCCUUAUGUGAAAUAUACCUUACUCAUGUAUCAGUAUCAUAACUUUUCUCAAGAUGCACAAUAAUAUUGUUUAUUUUAGUAUGGAUGUAAACUCUCUCCAGGCCACUUCAAAUCAAAUAGGUAUUGAAAACACUUUAUUGUAUAAGUGUACUGUGGAGCUUACAUUAGAGGAAAAUAAUUGUCUUUUUUACAGUGUGACAAUAAUGCUGGUCUUUCUGUAAGCGCCUGCUAUAAUGCUCUUGAAACCAGGUAAAAAACAAGUACGCUUCCAAAGUAUACUUAACAUGCUCUAUUUUUGCGCACUUAUUUUGUACUUAAUAUACUAAAGAUUCUUGUUGAAGUGUACUUCACUGUGCUAUUUUGAGACACCAUAAAUAUAAACUAAAAUGUGCAAAAAAUUAUUUAGGUACCACUUGUAGUAAGCUUGAACCCAUCUUUGUAUGAAAGUUGAGUUUAAUACAAGUGUUAACUAAAUAAAUGUUAUUAGAGA